UGGACGAAGAUCACGCAUCUGAGUUUGGCAACGUGUUAACGCGUAGGUGCUUGAUCUUAUUCAUGAGCUACUUUGCAAAGGGGUUUCGUUGCGGCUUUUUAGUUUUGGUUAGAAUACUACUUUGCUUUUAGUUUCCUUAUUGAUUACAAGUAUUUAUCAGUAACAUUGGUGAAUAAAUAUCUAAUCUGAUUUUGUUUGCAUUGAUUUGGAUAUUUAAUGAAAAGACAUGUGAAUGUGAUACAUAGAUAACAAAGGUGUUCAUAAUGGAUAGUACAGUGUUUUGCAUAGCUUUAACAUGUGUUUGUACUUUCAUGAUGUGGUAUAGAUUUCUGUUCCAUAUUAAUUUCGUAUUUCAUGUCAUAAUAUGUUUAAAGAAUGUGGAGUUAAUUAAAAUAGGAGAAAAUCAUUUAGAGCUCUAGGAGUUUUGAUGAUGGUGUUCUGGAUGUUCCAAUGGAUGUUGCGGAGUGUUCGGUUAAAAAAAAAAAAAAAGGCUGAUUUGGAAGAGUAAGAAUAUAAUUGUGAUACAUGGAAGAGUUGGAAAUAAUUACCAGGACAAAAUGUUAAGCCUGCUCUCUUUCAACCUUAAAUACAUUCUCUUUUCUAUUUGACAAUUGUUGAUUUAUUAUAAUUUUUUGCUUUGCCUGCAUGUUUAUGCAGGCUUGUUCUCUACAAUUUUUUGGGGGCGUGUGAUUUGUUGUGUUGUGAUUUUUUGUUGGACUAAGUGAUUUGAUACUGGUUUGUUCAUGUUGUAGAAGUAGUAAAAUCACAAAAGAUUGUAUAUUGUAAGCCAUUCUAAUGGUACAUUGUUAUUGACCUUUAUCUAAUUGCUAAAGUUUGAUUUUUAUUUUUUCACCUGAGUUAAGCAUUUAGCUACUGGAUUGCAUGAAAUCUGUAUUUAAAUAACUCAAGCAUCGUGUAAUUUCCCUCAAAUCCCCGCCGAUUCUCUAUCUCGCCAUUCUCAGUCUCUCCAGCCGCGAACCCUUACAGCUCCAUGCUCCGCCUCGAGGUUCGUCGAGAUGAGAGCCCCAAGACCAUCGCCUGCACCACCGUCUCAGAAAAGUGAGCCAAAAUCUUUGCGAGAUUCAGGCUGCACACGAGCGGAUCCAUAGGCCAAACCUCCGAUCUUGAGGUCGACACACCCAGAGUCUUCUCCAUUCUCUUGGACCAAGCAUGAAAUCCCAAGCACUAUAUCACCACAAAGCAAGCAAGCUGAAAAGCAAUCCA